GUUGUUUUCUCGAAAAUCAAUUAAAAAUGGCUUGAUUUUGUGUUGUAUUGACCUUAAAAGCUUUCUUCACUUUUUUCAUGUCUUUUUUAAUGCACUUUUCGUUUAACAAGUCAACAUCAGUUUCUUUUGUUGUAAAAAGGUCAUUGGAAGGUGGCUUUCUUUUCGGAGAAAGUGUUUAUAGCCUUUGACUUCUGCAAUCGGAGAGACUGAGGUCUGCAGCGUAGAUCCUUCUUGGAUUAGAUUCAUUUGUGCUAAGUUACAACCGUUUAUAGACAACUUGUUGACUAUAUUCGAUCCUGUAGCUUACUCGCUUAUGUAAUUUUACCUAC
rnacentral:rRNA from 1 species